UUUAUGGAGAGUUUGAUCCUGGCUCAGGAUGAACGCUGGCGGCGUGCCUAAUACAUGCAAGUCGAACGCACCAUUUCGGUGGUGAGUGGCGAACGGGUGAGUAACACGUAGGUAACCUGCCCUUAAGACGAGGAUAACCAAGGGAAACUUUGGCUAAAACUGGAUAGGAACAUCGAAGGCAUCUUUGAUGUUUUAAAAGACCUAGCAAUAGGUAUGCUUAAGGAGGGGCCUGCGGCGCAUUAGUUAGUUGGUGAGGUGAAGGCUUACCAAGACGAUGAUGCGUAGCCGGACUGAGAGGUUGAACGGCCACAUUGGGACUGAGAAACGGCCCAAACUCCUACGGGAGGCAGCAGUAGGGAAUUUUCGGCAAUGGGGGAAACCCUGACCGAGCAACGCCGCGUGAAUGACGAAGUACUUCGGUAUGUAAAGUUCUUUUAUCAGGGAAGAAUGGCUAGCGGAAAAGCUAGAUUGACGGUACUUGAUGAAUAAGCCCCGGCUAACUAUGUGCCAGCAGCCGCGGUAAUACAUAGGGGGCAAGCGUUAUCCGGAAUUAUUGGGCGUAAAGGGUGCGUAGGUGGUUGAUUAAGUCUUUGGUAUAAGUGCAGUGCUUAACGCUGUGACGCUAAAGAAACUAGUCGACUUGAGUGUAGUAGAGGCAAGUGGAAUUCCAUGUGUAGCGGUAAAAUGCGUAAAUAUAUGGAGGAACACCGGUGGCGAAGGCGGCUUGCUGGGCUAUAACUGACACUGAGGCACGAAAGCGUGGGGAGCAAACAGGAUUAGAUACCCUGGUAGUCCACGCCGUAAACGAUGAGUACUAAGUGUAGGGGAAACUCUGUGCUGUAGCUAACGCAAUAAGUACUCCGCCUGAGUAGUACGUACGCAAGUAUGAAACUCAAAGGAAUUGACGGGACCCCGCACAAGCGGUGGAUCAUGUUGUUUAAUUCGAUGAUACGCGAAGAACCUUACCAGGUCUUGACAUCCCAUGCAAAGCUAUAGAGAUAUAGUGGAGGUUAUCAUGGAGACAGGUGGUGCAUGGUUGUCGUCAGCUCGUGUCGUGAGAUGUUGGGUUAAGUCCCGCAACGAGCGCAACCCUUAUUGCUAGUUACCAUCAUUAAGUUGGGGACUCUAGCGAGACUGCCAGUGAUAAACUGGAGGAAGGUGGGGAUGACGUCAAAUCAUCAUGCCCCUUAUGACCUGGGCUACAAACGUGAUACAAUGGCUGGAACAAAGGGAGGCGAAGGGGUGACCUGGAGCGAAACUCAAAAAAACAGUCUCAGUUCGGAUUGAAGUCUGCAACUCGACUUCAUGAAGUCGGAAUCGCUAGUAAUCGCGGAUCAGAACGCCGCGGUGAAUACGUUCUCGGGGUUUGUACACACCGCCCGUCAAACCACGAAAGUCUACAAUACCCAAAGCCGGUGGCCUAACCGCAAGGAGGGAGCCGUUUAAGGUAGGGUCGAUGAUUGGGGUUAAGUCGUAACAAGGUAUCCCUACGGGAACGUGGGGAUGGAUCACCUCCUUUCUAAGGAGA
rnacentral:rRNA from 1 species